GCUCGCUGAUUGGUUGAGCCGAUGUGGCACCGCCGCGCACGUUUCGCGCGCGUCUGCCAUUAUUUCAGUUGAAUUCCGUUGCUUGGUGGUGAAAGUGCGUCGCUCGCGUGUGCAGCAUUUUAUGGACUUGGUGUGCAGAAACUGAAACUCGGAUUCCGAGGCCAAUAUUUCUUUUGGAUAUACCAUCGCACUGCAUACUGCCAGGGCUGGUGCCGGUGCAGACGCUCGCCUCGAUCGACGCCGGAUGCUCGCCGCCGGGUGGCUUCAGAAUGUGAAGUCUGCCUGCUCCUGUUCGAUAGGUAAAGUUUCGGAGACACUGAUGCGUCUUCUGGAAACUGCAGUCUCAAGGAUGGCGACGGAGAAAGUGGGCCCAUGGUUUUCCAUGCCCUCGCGCUACUGAGCCAGAAUACCAGCACCCUUCGAGCAGCAGUGCGCCGAUCUCGCGGUAGGAGGUGGUUCAAAAACUAAGCGAUCUCGCGCAGUGUUUGCGAUCUAUGGGAGUGUUUCAUUGUUGUUUUUUUUUACGGACCUCUUUUAGUGUUGUGUUGAACGGAUUACGCCU